rnacentral:ncRNA from 1 species
CGAUAGAGGCGCGGCGACCAUAAGUAGCGCCAGGCACGCAAAGAUGCAGCACCCGGAAAGGUGCGCCUGGGCAAAAGGGGAAGCCGCCGAAGGGCUCGUAUGUUUCCGCAUAUGCACCCUGGUGCGUGGGAGAACAUCCUCCGCACUGUCGCCGAAAGGCGGAGCGCUAUCU